rnacentral:rRNA from 1 species
UACGUAGGGUGCAAGCGUUGUCCGGAAUUAUUGGGCGUAAAGAGCUCGUAGGCGGCUCGUCGCGUCGGCUGUGAAAACCUGAGGCUCAACCUCAGGCCUGCAGUCGAUACGGGCGGACUUGAGUACUGCAGGGGAGACUGGAAUUCCUGGUGUAGCGGUGAAAUGCGUAGAUAUCCGGAGGAACACCGGUGGCGAAGGCGGCUUCCUGGGCCGAUUACUGACGCUGAGGCGCGAAAGCUAGGGGAGCAAACGGG